rnacentral:rRNA from 1 species
UACGGAGGGAGCUAGCGUUAUUCGGAAUUACUGGGCGUAAAGCGCACGUAGGUGGCUUUGUAAGUAAGAGGUGAAAGCCCAGAGCUCAACUCUGGAAUUGCCUUUUAGACUGCAUCGCUUGAAUCAUGGAGAGGUCAGUGGAAUUCCGAGUGUAGAGGUGAAAUUCGUAGAUAUUCGGAAGAACACCAGUGGCGAAGGCGGCUGACUGGACAUGUAUUGACGCUGAGGUGCGAAAGCGUGGGGAGUCAA